ACGUGGUCGCCGAGCAGCACCGAAUCGGCCGGGAGAGCCGAGGGAGAAUCCGGGUGGAAGCUGAGAAAUCCAGCCCCGAUAGCAGCGCCCGGUCCCGCCCCGGCCCCCGCCCCUGGGCGCUCGCCGCCCGGGCCUCCGGAGCCGAUCUCCGGCCGGCACCCACGCUCCAUCACGGGAUCGAACCCCGCUCCCACGGCCGCGAUCCGGGGAGGUGCGGCCUUGUGAAGUGAGGAGUGCGGAGCCAUUGAGAGGACGCAGCGAAGGGAAGCGGAGCUGAGUGGCCGUUGCCUGGAGCUCUGCACUGGGAUUCGUGUUCUUGUGGGGAG